rnacentral:rRNA from 1 species
GCAGCAGCCGCGGUAAAACGUAGGGUGCGAGCGUUAAUCGGAAUUACUGGGCGUAAAGCGUGCGCAGGCGGUUAUAUAAGACAGAUGUGAAAUCCCCGGGCUCAACCUGGGACCUGCAUUUGUGACUGUAUAGCUAGAGUACGGUAGAGGGGGAUGGAAUUCCGCGUGUAGCAGUGAAAUGCGUAGAUAUGCGGAGGAACACCGAUGGCGAAGGCAAUCCCCUGGACCUGUACUGACGCCCAUGCACGAAAGCGUGGGGAGCAAACAGGAUUAGAUACCCCCGUAGUCCCUGUCUCUUAUAC